rnacentral:lncRNA from 1 species
UUUUACUGUUGACAUGGAAGUUCUCAAUUUGAUCAUUUGGUUAUAUCAUUGCUUCUUCUAGUAACUUCAUAUCCAGUGAUUAAACCUUUUCACUGCUGUUCACAUAAUGAACCGUUGUGAUUAUUGAAUACUUAAAUGAGGAUAUGUAAGCUGUAUUAAAGAUAGUGUUAUUUGCAAAGGCAUUGACUAUUGCACAAAAAAUUUUAAAAGAAAAUAUCUCUUUUCAGGAAUUGUACUCUCAGAGAUGUUGAGAAAAGAUACAUGGGUCUUGGAAGAUAAUUACUCAAAAUAUGCAGGGAAGGAAUAAAAUUGAAGGGUGUUUUUCUUAGAGAACAUCAUUUGUCAUAUUUAUUUGAUCAAGAAGUUGAAGAUUUAUGUAAUAAGGUAUGGGACUUACACAUUUAUCUUGAUAAAAGAACACAGAAAAGGUCAGGUAUGAGCAGAAAAUUGACAUUUAUUUCAGCCUAAUGUGGAUACUGUACUCUGAAUUAAAAAUUUCUUUUCCUUACUCUUCCAGCUUUUAAAGAUAAGUAUUAUUUCAAAAUAGUAUUUUUUUUAAUUAAUAGAUUCAAUUCAGGAAAGGCAUUGGAGGGGGUGGAGCUUUUAACUUUGACAGUCUCACUCUGUUGCCCAGGCUGGAGUGCAGCGGCGCAAUCUCUGCUCACUGCAAUCUCUGCCUCCUGGGUUCAAAUAGUUAUUGUGGCCCAGCUUCCCAAGUGGCUGGGAUUAGAGGCGCAUGCCACCACACCCAGCUAAUUUUUUUUAUUAAGUAGAGACCAUGUUUUGCCAUGUUGGCCAGACUGGUCUCAAACUUCCAGCCACCAACCUCAGCCUCCCAAAGUGCUGGGAUUAUAGUCAUAAGCCACCACACCUGGCUGUUGGUUAUCUUUUCUUAGAAAUAAUGAUAUAAUCUUUUCAGCACCUGAUAUUCUUAAAGAUCCAGGGUUUACAAAUGACUGUUAGAUAUGCCAAGGAUGACUAGCCUAUAACUUAAGGAACUGUUCAGGAACAGUAGAAAAGAAGGUGAUAGGAAACUGGGAAUCUUAAAUCUAAUACUAGUUCUGUCAUGAAUUAGGCUUGUUAUUGUAGUUGUUUCUCAAAUUUAAGAAAAUAUGAGGGGUCUUGAAAAAGUGCAUGGAAAAUGCAUAUCAUGAAAUAACUAUGCAUGGAUUUCAAAAUUUUUGGACCAAAAUAAACUCCUACUAACUUGUUAUAACAUGUCUGAACAGGAUCUAGUUUGAAGCACUAAGAAGAAUAAGACAUCAGUUUGAAAAGAGGCUCUAUCAGAAUAACACGAAUUCUGCUAAAAUUGAAGCAAGAACAAACAUCAAAUAUAUGUUGACACUUGGGUGGAAGAAUGGUGAACUAAUUGAUGCUUUAUGAAAAGUCGAUAGGGACAAUGCUCCAAAGAAAUCAGUUUACAAAUGGAUAACUCGUUUUAAGAAGGCAUAAGGUAAUGUUGAAGAAGAAGCCCACAGUGGCAGAUCAUCCACAUCAGUUUGUGAGAAAAAAGUUAGUUCAUGGCGUAAUUGAAGAAAACCAACAAUUAACAGCAGAAACAACAGCCAACACCAUAGACAUCUCAGUUGGUUCACCUUACACAAUUUUGACUGGAAAAGUUCAGCAAACUUUAUACCUGAUAGGUACCAAAACCAUUGCACCCAGAUCAGCUACAGACAAGAAUAGAGCUUUCAAUGGAAAUUUUAAAUAAGUGGGAUCAGGAUCUUGAAGCCUUUCAUUGAAAAAUUGUAACAGGAGAUGAAACAUGGCUUUACCAGCGCAAUCCUGAAGACAAAACACAAAGCAGUGGUUACCAAGAUAAGUAGUUCAGUUAAAGCACAAGAGGACUGGUUGAGAGCAAAGGUCAUGACAACAGCUUUUGAAUGCUCAAGGCAUUUUGCUUGUUGACUUUCUGUAGGGCCAAAGAAUGGUAACGUGCUUAUCAUGGGAGUGUUUUGAGAAACUUAGUCAAAGCUUCAGCAGAAAAAUCCCCGAGAAAGACCAGAGAGUUCUUCACCACAACAAUGUUCCUGCUAAUCCCUCUCAUCAAACAAGGGCAUUUUGCAAGAGUUUUGAUGGGAAAUCACUAGGCAUCCACCCUACAGUCCUGGUUUGGCACCUUCUGACUUUUUGUUUCCUAAUCUUAAAAAAAUUUUUAAGGGCAGUACAUUUUUCUCAAGUUAAUGUAUAAAGAAACUGCAUUGAUGUAGAUAAAUUCCCAGAACUCUCAGUUCUUUAGGGAUGGACUAAAUAGCUGGUAUCAUCACUUACAAAAGUGUCUUGAAUGCUAUAGAGCUAAUGUUCAGAAAUAUAGUUUAUAUUUUUUAUCUUUUAACCAUUUUUCCACAAACUUUUUGAAGUCUCCUUGAAUAUGUACCAUUUAUAAAGGGGAAAAAUUCUGUGACUACUCAUGUUGACUUAAUGCUGACUUAAUUUUCUGUUUUGUAAAUAUAUACAAACAAGUUGAUACAAAUUUUGUUUAUAGCCCUUAAACAAAUUUGUGAAAUAAAUGCAUUCAGAAACAAACUAAAACAAUGAAAUGGAUGCUACUGUUUUACUGAGG